ensembl:lncRNA
CCUUAUUAAACAUUGUUGCCAAAUGUCUCUGUGGGCAGGUAGUUAAUUUCCUGUGAACCAGGUGAGUUCUUUCAGUCCACAGAUACAGAUCUUCCUCUAGUUUAGGAAGACCUUCUUCUCAAAGAGCUUUCAUCCUACGCCUUGGUGGGAACAGUGAGUCCCUGGUGCUGGGGCUGACUCUCUGUUCUUCCUAUCUUUAUCUUUGUCCUCCUCUGCCUGAUGAGUUCCUGGAGGCGUGGACGUGGUCGGCAGUGUUAAUCUCAAUAGCGGUUGACUUCUUCCUUGUUCUACCCCCAACUCCCGGGGCCACAGAAGCCCAGGCGGCAGAACUCCUUGCUUACAUAAAGCCUACUCCUUUAUGCUGGGUGGUUGUGGAGAAGGCUUCAGCUGUUUCCCGGGCCAGGCCUGCUGUCUUUCUAGCAGCAGUACCAGCAGUGCUUAUUCUUAUUGUUUUGAAAAUAAGUGGUAUUAUAUGGUCCACAGAAAAGUGAGAAAAGAAGCAACUAGUAUCUGUAAUGCUUGCCCUUCUGCAAAGAUUCUUUGAAAAUUUGAAGCCACAGGGAUGAAGAAAACACAUUUACUGCGGGCGGGGGUCUGAGGGCCUGCAAACAACUCGAGCAGGCGCCUGGGCCAGGACCGGCGCGGAGAGGCGGUAGGUCUCCGGGGAGGGCCCGGGGGCCGGCCGCGGCCCUCGGGAGAUGGUGGGGGGCGGCCGGGCCGGUUGCGGGCCGCUUGCCUCUCCACGGGGUCGGC